ensembl:lncRNA
AGUUCAAGCCAAGAGCUUUGCAUGGCCCUCCCUGCUUCACGCCAGGCAGGGGUGGGUAGAGAGCCCUUCUGCCCUUGGUCCUGCUCACAUCCCAUGGUUGGGUCAGAUUGGGGCAAGUGUGUGUGUAGUGAUGGAGCUGUGCCAGAGCCAGAGUAGUGCAUCACCUGGUACUUUGUGACAGUAAUGGUGUCACUGCAGGACAGCCCAGUAAAUUGAGAGAUGAGUUGUUGGGGGCAAGGAAUAGCGACUUUAUUGGGAAAGCCAGCAGAUGGAGAAGAUGAUUGACUCGUGUCCCAAAGAACCCUCUGACCUGAGGUAGAAUUCAGGCUUCUUCAUACUAAAAGAGCAGGAAGUGUGGCUGGCAGACUUCUUCAUGCCGGAAUCCCUUGUUCUUGCAGCUCUCCAGCAUGUGACCUGAGCCACAGCAGUGAUGAUGCCGGAUCCUUAACCCACUGUGCCACCAGGGAACUCCAGGAAACUUUGAGAUCACCCGAGCGGUCCUCUUUCUGUAGGACAGCACUGUCCCUUCCGGAACGUCUGUGUCUGUGUCUCCAUGAGGCAGCGUCCCACGGGCAGGGACCGGCCUGCCUCCUGCAGGAAUGGUGCCGAGCCCCUUCCACCUGCCUGCUUGGUUUACAGGCCUGUUUUACCUGUUCUUCCCGGGUGUUGGGUCCUGUGUAGCAAUGCAACGUCCUUUCCCCAGCAUUUCCUCCGCAAGCUGACCCCCUGCCCCCACCACCCUGAUGAGCCCAGCAGGGUGGCAGCAGCUGGGUCUCCAGCCCAGGACCCAGGGAUCAGGAAGGGAACGGCUCCUCCAGUCAUGCAGAAGGGCCCCCAGAGCUGCUGUCCCCAGGCCCCGUGCUGAAGCUGGUUCGAGGCAGCCCUUUGCCUUCGGAAAUGGGACUGGGCGGGUUUGCCACACAGAGGAACCAAAAUAAACUGAAACAACAACACACAGAAACUGGAAACUCAGGGGAGUUCCCUGGUGGUCUAGUGGUUAGGACUGUUAGGUUCACUGCUGCGGCCCCGUUCAGUCUCUGGUCUGGGAACUGAGCUCCCACAUCAAGCCACUGCACGCUCUGGCCAGAUAAAUAAAUGAAUGAAUAAACAAAUAAUUAAAUGCUGGAAACUCAGAGGCCUGGCAGCGGUGCCAUGAGCAUUGCUGUUCCCCUCAGAUACACUGUAAAAUGAGAGGGAGGGACUUCCCCUUGUGGUUGAGCAGUAAUCUGUCUAGAAUCCAUGAGAAUGCAGGGUCAAUCCCUGGCCUUGCUUAGUGGGUUAAGGAUCUGGCAACACUGCAAGCGGUGGGGUAGGUUGCAGAUGCUGCUGGAACUGGUGUUGCUGUGGUUGUGGCGUAGGCUGGCAGCUGUAGCUCUGAUUCUACCCCUAGGCUGGGAACUUCCAUGUGCCCUGCGUGCGGCCCUAAAAAGCAGGGGGGAAAAAAAGGAAAAAAACAAAAAUGAGAGAGGAAUUUGCACAUUUUGUGUUUCCCAUGGUGGGAGGGCUCUGGGCCCCCUCUGUGGUCUGCACGAGGGGGGCUGAUGUCCCUGCAGGGCGUUGGCCACAUCCUCAGAGCUUCCCCCUAUUUGCUGGGGCAAGGAUGGUGCAGCUGCUUAGAGAACUGGGUGAGGGCUGUGGUUCCUGUUGACAUAAAAUUUGUGGUGCUUUCU